rnacentral:rRNA from 1 species
AUUGAACGCUGGCGGCAGGCCUAACACAUGCAAGUCGAACGGUAACAGGAAGAAGCUUGCUUCUUUGCUGACGAGUGGCGGACGGGUGAGUAAUGUCUGGGAAACUGCCUGAUGGAGGGGGAUAACUACUGGAAACGGUAGCUAAUACUGCAUAACGUCGCAAGACCAAAGAGGGGGACCUUCGGGCCUCUUGCCAUCGGAUGUGCCCAGAUGGGAUUAGCUAGUUGGUGGGGUAACGGCUCACCAAGGCGACGAUCCAUAGCUGGUCUGAGAGGAUGGCCAGCCACACUGGAACGGAGACACGGUCCAGACUCCUAGGGGAGGAAGCAGUGGGGAAUAUUGCACAAUGGGCGCAAGCCUGAUGCAGCCAUGCCGCGUGUAUGAAGAAGGCCUUCGGGUUGUAAAGUACUUUCAGCGGGGAGGAAGGGAGUAAAGUUAAUACCUUUGCUCAUUGACGUUACCCGCAGAAGAAGCACCGGCUAACUCCGUGCCAGCAGCCGCGGUAA